rnacentral:rRNA from 1 species
UACGUAGGGCGCAAGCGUUGUCCGGAAUUAUUGGGCGUAAAGAGCUCGUAGGCGGUUUGUCGCGUCUGCUGUGAAAACCUAAGGCUCAACCUUGGGCUUGCAGUGGGUACGGGCAGACUAGAGUGCGGUAGGGGUGACUGGAAUUCCUGGUGUAGCGGUGGAAUGCGCAGAUAUCAGGAGGAACACCAAAGGCGAAGGCAGUGUCCUGGGGAGUACCUGACGCUGAUGAACGAAAGCCAGGGGAGCAAACGGG